CAAACUCAAGAACACGAUCAUUUCCUGAAAGGAGGGGCUGUUGUAAACCAAAAGAAAACUGUUUUUACUAGGACAUUAUUAAUUGAUGAGUUAGACUUUCCCGCUCCCAGGGCAUUUCCUCCUCCCUUUUGAGGAAGGGAAAGCUGCUCUCUGUACACCUAAGUACGGGAGGCAUCAGCUGUGGUCACGCAGCAUAAGCAAGAAAACUUCGUGUUGUUCCUUCGUCUCCAUCCUGAGCCAUAGUUCCCGCACGAAACAGGACUUGGUGGCUUCCUCAGGCAUCAUGGGCCGAUGAUGGUGGAGAACAGAGCCUACUGUACCCACCAUGCUGGAGACAGCGCAAGAAGAAGACAGAAAAGGGGACCAAGUUGUGUGCCUGCCCUCGCCAGUCUGACCGCUGCGUGGCAAGGUCCUCGGCACGAGGAGAGCCGGUUGGAAAAGGACGCUGGGCGGGAGAUGUAUCUUAGAGUGGAGCCUGGAUUGCCAGCACACUCCAGCACGCUUACUUUCUUCUCAGCCCCUAUUCCUCGGCUGCAGAGGCUCGCCUUCUCCGCCUUCUCCCCUUCUCCGCCCUGGAAGCCCAGGCACCUGGACCAGCAGGCCCACCCCAGAGAGGGCGCAGCUUGCAGAGAACAAGGCUCCCCUGCACUGCCCGCCCCUGUGAAUGUGUCGGGUUACGUGGACCUGGGGCGCUGAUCAGCUCUCCAAGGACAGACGCGGACAGACGGCAGUGGAAAGACUCAGGCCAACACCGCUGACUUUGAGGAUGGAGGACGAGGUCACAGCCCAGGAGCAGGUGGCUCUAGAAGCCCUGCAAGGGGAGAGAAAGGGUCCCCUUCUCCACCCUCCAGGGCACAGCCUGCUGACACAUUUCCCUUAGCCCAGGGGAGCCCCUGCUCACACCGACCCCCAGAACCGUAGGACAAUGCAUUUGCAUGUUUUUAAAACAAGUACAUUUGGGUGAUUCGUUCUACCAGUAACAGGAAACAGCCCUCACAGUGGGGUUAGGGAUGCCCAAGACCAGGACGCUCCGCUCCUCUCCUCUCUGUGUCCCAAGGCUGUUGAACAUCUUCGGCUCAGGUGCCCCCUGGCCGCAGUGUUCCAAGUCCCGAGUAGCAUGCCUCGUGAGUAUACACGUCCGCGUGCUGGAGCAGCUCACACUGGUCUGUGAGAGCUAAGGGUCAGAUGUCAGGAAAAGAACAGGUGGCUUGUUAAACACAGCCAUCCUUAAAAUGUAAUCAUGAACCAGGCAUGGUGGUGCACCCCUGUGAUCCCAGCACUCCGGGAGGCUGAGGCAGGAGCAUUGUGAGUUAGAGCCCAACCAGGGCAACUUAAUGACUUAGUGAAACCCUAUCUCAAAAAAUAAAAACAGCUAGGGAUGUCGCUCAGCACGAAGGUCGUGGGUUCUUACCCACUACUGAGAAAAGAAAUUCGAUGAUAUAAACUUACAAUUAAAUACAUUUCAUUUCAAAGAUAAUAAACAUUCGGAACCCACCACUUCACUUUACUAAUGCUUUAUCACCCUUACUAGUGCUCUGUCUGCUUAGAGAUUACCGCUGUGUGCGAGUCACGCGUGUGCGUCGCACCGCCUGGUGGGGACACGGUGUAACGGUGCUCAGUUCCAGGUCCUAUAGCUCUGCACUUCUGAUGUCACGUUGGCAGCUUCAAAAGGGCCCCGAUGGGGCAUCUGCACCAUGGAAAUAGGCAGAUGCUACCAAUCAUGCCUUCUCCCCACAUCCGGGUCAUGGCGUAAUGUAUGUCUGCCACCUGUGAUGAGGGCCGGGGAUGCUUUGACCUUGGGACAUCGCCAACCACUUUGGGGUGUUCUUUAGGACCCCCGACAGAUGUCAUGAACGUCUGUGCCAAGCAAGGAUCUGGAAUCACUGAGACAAAGUUCACCCUGAGGACCACUGAGGCCUCACAGGGUCUGAGUCUAAUUCAUCUUUGCGUUCCCAAGGCAGGGGUAAUCAAUACAUCUCAACCGAAUAAAGAGAGAAUCCACAACUUCUUCAGACGGGAAGAGGGCUCUUUGACCUG
rnacentral:lncRNA from 1 species